rnacentral:rRNA from 1 species
UACGAAGGGUGCAAGCGUUACUCGGAAUUACUGGGCGUAAAGCGUGCGUAGGUGGUUUGUUAAGUCUGUUGUGAAAGCCCCGGGCUCAACCUGGGAAUGGCAAUGGAUACUGGCAGGCUAGAGUGCGGUAGAGGGUAGUGGAAUUCCCGGUGUAGCGGUGAAAUGCGCAGAUAUCAGGAAGAACACCCGUGGCGAAGGCGGCUCACUGGACCACAACUGACGCUGAUGCGCGAAAGCUAGGGGAGCAAACAGGAUUGAGAU